UACGUAGGGGGCGAGCGUUGUCCGGAAUUAUUGGGCGUAAAGAGCUCGUAGGCGGCUUGUUGCGUCAGCUGUGAAAACCCGCAGCUCAACUGUGGGCUUGCAGCUGAUACGGGCAGGCUUGAGUUCGGUAGGGGAGACUGGAAUUCCUGGUGUAGCGGUGAAAUGCGCAGAUAUCAGGAGGAACCCCGGUGGCGGAGGCGGGUCUCUGGGCCGAUACUGACGCUGAGGAGCGAAAGCGUGGGGAGCGAACAGG
rnacentral:rRNA from 1 species